UCCCUGAAGCACGUGCUGUUAGGGAGGCAUUGCCUAACAAGUGAAAUGCACAGCUGGAUAGUCAGGUGAGGCUCUGUGACCCUCCCCACCCCUCUACGAGGAGCUGUAAACAGUCAACAGGGGGCCAACUGGAUGAUCUCUGGUCUUGUGCUAAGGAUAUAAAGAGAAAGCUGGAACACAUCUGGAUCUGGGACACUGAUGACCUUGUGCCAUGUCAGUCCUGAACUAGUUACCUCGGAGUUUUCUUUAAGAACCGAACUAUUUAAGCUACUGUUAAUUUAGGAAGCCUUUAAUUCACAAAAGCACUGCUGGGCUGGAGCUGUGACAGUCAUCUCUGAAAAUCUGCUACACCAGGAUACCAAAGAAGAUAGGAACAAAAGCACAGCGUCCUGAUGGUGCUUAGCUUAGAAACAGGACACCAUGCCAAGCAAUCACCAUCUUGGAGAGUUCAGCUGCACCUCCACCACCACUGCCCCCCACCACGCACACAGGCAUGAUCAUUCCAGCUGUUCUGGUUGACUGUUUAUUACCCAUCUCCAUAGAAGAGCCCAGAAGGGCACACGAUUCUUACCCGAGUCUCCAGCUGCUCCUACCACCUGGUGUAUAUAGAGGUAGGGAAAUAAGUAUGGCUGGGGCUCCAUCUAUACAGCUAUGGGGAAGUCCUCAUACCUGCUGGCUAAAGCUUCUGAGGUGCAGUCAGUUCGUUGAGGGAUACCCACACGCCUAUAAGUAGUCCCUCACCUAUGAAAUAUAGGCAUUGGUUCACCAGAGUGAACUUUUGGGACUCGUGCCUCAGUUUGUCAUUGAGACCUUAGGAGAAG